GGGGAAUUUUGGACAAUGGGCGCAAGCCUGAUCCAGCCAUGCCGCGUGCAGGAUGAAGGCCUUCGGGUUGUAAACUGCUUUUGUACGGAACGAAAAGGUGCCUUCUAAUAAAGGGCGCUCAUGACGGUACCGUAAGAAUAAGCACCGGCUAACUACGUGCCAGCAGCCGCGGUAAUACGUAGGGUGCAAGCGUUAAUCGGAAUUACUGGGCGUAAAGCGUGCGCAGGCGGUUUUGUAAGACAGAGGUGAAAUCCCCGGGCUCAACCUGGGAACUGCCUUUGUGACUGCAAGGCUGGAGUGCGGCAGAGGGGGAUGGAAUUCCGCGUGUAGCAGUGAAAUGCGUAGAUAUGCGGAGGAACACCGAUGGCGAAGGCAAUCCCCUGGGCCUGCACUGACGCUCAUGCACGAAAGCGUGGGGAGCAAACA
rnacentral:rRNA from 1 species